UAGUCUGUGAGGUACCGAUCAGGGUGCCCAGCGCCCUGCUCAAGGCCACUAGUACCUGGUGGUCAGAACCUUAAACCACGUCCUGAGGCGGUCCUCCGGUUAAAGGAGGCCGGAAGUGGCUGGCUGCACUGUCCAAAAGUCCACUGCAGGAAGGAGCCACAGACACAUCUUGGAGGCCUCAGGACUGAGUCGGUGGAGUAAGACGGGGUGGGGAUGGGGGAGCAGGACUUCUAAGAACCCGCCCACUCUCUCCCCCUUCUUCCUCUCCCACGCUCAAUCUCAGAUCCUCCUCUUCCCUUCUCUCCUUUCAACCUUCUAUCCCCUUCCCCAACUCCUCCGGCCCUCCCCCUCGCCUCCACGCUUCCUUCCUUCCCCCACUCUCCCCUAUCCCCCACUUUCGAUUCUCACCUCUCCCUUCCCGUCUCGAGCCCUCUCCUACCCCCUCUCCCUCCUUUGACCCCUUCUACAGGCUCCCCCUUCCCCCACAGUCCUUUCCACUCCCCCAAGCCCAUCUCCCUUACCCAUCCCCCGCCCCACGCGUCCCCUCCCCUCCAGCUCCGCCGUCGCCACGUCCCCAGCCCCGCCCGCACGAGCUUCGCGGGGAACCCCGGAGACGUCACCACCCGCAGCGCCCUCCUUCCCGCGCUCUCCAGAAAGGACGCGAAGGUGGUGACGUGUCCUGAGCGCCAGCGCGGCUGCGCACAAGGAGGACAGACUUUCUGAGCCCCAUCCUUCAUCAUGUCAGCUGUUUCCUUCUCACAGUGGCCAGGAAGGAACCACUCCCAUCAGAGUCAGGAACUUCUGCUAUGACUUCACGUAAAUGUCAUCAGGAGAGCACAAGUUGACCGAGGCAUCUGGGGGUUUCCGCGAUGCUCUCCACUUCCACUUUAGGGCAUUUAAACAGCUCGUAAGUACCAUCCCGGUUCUGGAUAAAGCUCCGAGUGAUUUCCAGGGGCAUCUGGACACAGAGACGGGCCUGGAAUUCAACUUGUUCUGCAAGUGUGUAACAGUCUGGCAGAUACUGACCAACCAAAUGAGAAGGAGCUCCAUGACAGAAGUCUCUGUGGGUUCUUCAGCGUGCUCACUAGACCUUAGAAACUUGUUUACAUGUUUCUUUUCUGUAGUGCUAGGACGUACCCGGGCCCCUGCGCUACUGUUCCUAUGUUUGGUAGAGCUAUGUGCAGGGCACUCUAUUCUGAUAGCCUCUUAUGACAUGAGAUCUAAUGAGUCAAAUCAGAGUCCUUUAAAGGAUGACUGCCUGCCCACCACCUGCAUGUGGGAUUAAAGCCACUCUACCAGAGGGCCCGCGGCACAGCUGGGGAUUAACAUUACUGUAUGGAAGGCCUCUAGUUUCAGAGCAUCAAAACCAGAUAGAUAAGCUAUGAGGACGAAGGUCUCUGGGUCUCAGAGUGCCGUGAACUCACUGCUUGUGCUGUUCAAGAAUGGACUUACUAAAUGACAACUUACUGAAGAGACACCCUUGCUUUCCAGUUGUAACCACUUUUGGCUUCUGACCACCUGGUGGCUCUCUCUCCACCCAUUUUCCCCUUUAUUUCUAAAAAGUUAUUCUAAAAAUAAAAUCUCCCUUACACAAAGCAAAAA